GAUGAACGCUGGCGGCGUGCCUAAUACAUGCAAGUAGAACGCUGAAGGAAGGAGCUUGCUCUUUCCGGAUGAGUUGCGAACGGGUGAGUAACGCGUAGGUAACCUGCCUGGUAGCGGGGGAUAACUAUUGGAAACGAUAGCUAAUACCGCAUAACAGUAGAUGUUGCAUGAUAUCUACUUAAAAGGUGCAAUUGCACCACUACCAGACGGACCUGCGUUGUAUUAGCUAGUUGGUGAGGUAACGGCUCACUAAGGGGACGAUACAUAGCCGACCGGAGAGGGUGAUCGGCCACCCGGGGGCGGGGACACGGCCCAGGCGACUGCGGGAGGCAGCAGUAGGGAAUCUUCGGCAAUGGACGGAAGUCUGGCCGAACAACGCCACGUGAGUGAAGGAGGUUUUCGGAUCGUAAAGCUCUGUUGUGAGAGAAGAACGAGUGUGGGAGUGGAAGGUUCACACUGUGACGGCAUCUAACCAGAAAGGGACGGCUAACUACGUG
rnacentral:rRNA from 1 species